ACUCCUACGGGAGGCAGCAGUGGGGAAUUUUGGACAAUGGGCGAAAGCCUGAUCCAGCAAUGCCGCGUGUGUGAAGAAGGCCUUCGGGUUGUAAAGCACUUUUGUCCGGAAAGAAAUCCUUGGCUCUAAUACAGUCGGGGGAUGACGGUACCGGAAGAAUAAGCACCGGCUAACUACGUGCCAGCAGCCGCGGUAAUACGUAGGGUGCGAGCGUUAAUCGGAAUUACUGGGCGUAAAGCGUGCGCAGGCGGUUUGCUAAGACCGAUGUGAAAUCCCCGGGCUCAACCUGGGAACUGCAUUGGUGACUGGCAGGCUAGAGUAUGGCAGAGGGGGGUAGAAUUCCACGUGUAGCAGUGAAAUGCGUAGAGAUGUGGAGGAAUACCGAUGGCGAAGGCAGCCAUCUGGCCUAAUACUGACACUGAGGUGCGAAAGCAUGGGGAGCAAACAGGAUUAGAUACCCUGGUAGUCCAUGCCGUAAACGUUGGGCACUAGGUGUGGGGGACAUUCCACGUUUUCCGCGCCGUAGCUAACGCAUUAAGUGCCCCGCCUGGGGAGUACGGCCGCAAGGCUAAAACUCAAAGGAAUUGACGGGGACCCGCACAAGCGGUGGAUGAUGUGGAUUAAUUCGAUGCAACGCGAAAAACCUUACCUACCCUUGACAUGGUCGGAAUCCCGCUGAGAGGUGGGAGUGCUCGAAAGAGAACCGGCGCACAGGUGCUGCAUGGCUGUCGUCAGCUCGUGUCGUGAGAUGUUGGGUUAAGUCCCGCAACGAGCGCAACCCUUGUCCUUAGUUGCUACGCAAGAGCACUCUAAGGAGACUGCCGGUGACAAACCGGAGGAAGGUGGGGAUGACGUCAAGUCCUCAUGGCCCUUAUGGGUAGGGCUUCACACGUCAUACAAUGGUCGGAACAGAGGGUUGCCAACCCGCGAGGGGGAGCUAAUCCCAGAAAACCGAUCGUAGUCCGGAUUGCACUCUGCAACUCGAGUGCAUGAAGCUGGAAUCGCUAGUAAUCGCGGAUCAGCAUGCCGCGGUGAAUACGUUCCCGGGUCUUGUACACACCGCCCGUCACACCAUGGGAGUGGGUUUUACCAGAAGUGGCUAGUCUAACCGCAAGGAGGACGGUCACCACGGUAGGAUUCAUGACUGGGGUGAAGUCGUAACAAGGUAGCCGUAGGGGAACCUGCGGCUG
rnacentral:rRNA from 1 species